GGAGAUGGAAGAGGAGGGGGAAGGCGGAGAGUGAGCAGCCACAGAAGGAGAAGGAGGUGUGGUGAGGGAGGAGAAGGAUUAGGAGGAGGCAGGGGGAUGGAAUAGGAGAAGGGGCAGGAAGAGGAAGAGGAGGGACAGAGGCAGAUCAAGGCUGAGCAGCAGGAAGCACGCGGUCGAGCCCUCCGUGCAUUCGCAGCCCCCACCUGUGGGAUCAUCGCCCCCCAUGGCGCAGGAUUUCCCAUUGCCACUUCUUGUGAGGCUGUGAGGAAGAUGUCCCUGGACACUGAGGCAGAGCAGGAGCUGAGCAUGGAGAGCAGGGAGGACAAAUCCCCGCGGCAGAACCUCGUGGCAGAGGCCGUUUUGAGCGGCUCCGCGGCGCAGGAACCCAACGGGGAGGAAAAGCCCCGGAGAUGCCGCACGAGGAGGGGCUGCAAACGCAGAU